AGAGUUUGAUCAUGGCUCAGAACGUACGCUGGCGGCACGCCUAACACAUGCAAGUCGAACGAAGUAGCAAUACUUAGUGGCAGACGGGUGAGUAACAUGUAGGUAUCUGCCCUUUGGCCUGGAAUAACACGAGGAAACUUGUGCUAAUACCGGAUAAGUCUUUACGGAGAAAGCUUUAUGCACCAUUGGAUGAGCCUGCACUUGAUUAGUUUGUUGGUGGGGUAAUGGCCUACCAAGACUGUGAUCAAUAGCUGAUUUGAGAGGAUGAUCAGCCACAUUGGGACUGAGACACGGCCCAAACUCCUACGGGAGGCAGCAGUGGGGAAUCUUGCACAAUGGAGGAAACUCUGAUGCAGCGAUGCCGCGUGAGUGAAGAAGGCCCUUGGGUUGUAAAGCUCUUUCGUCGGGGAAGAAAAUGACUGUACCCGAAUAAGAAGGUCCGGCUAACUUCGUGCCAGCAGCCGCGGUAAUACGAAGGGACCUAGCGUAGUUCGGAAUUACUGGGCUUAAAGAGUUCGUAGGUGGUUGAAAAAGUUGGUGGUGAAAUCCCAGAGCUUAACUCUGGAACUGCCAUCAAAACUUUUCAGCUAGAGUAUGAUAGAGGAAAGCAGAAUUUCUAGUGUAGAGGUGAAAUUCGUAGAUAUUAGAAAGAAUACCAAUUGCGAAGGCAGCUUUCUGGAUCAUUACUGACACUGAGGAACGAAAGCAUGGGUAGCGAAGAGGAUUAGAUACCCUCGUAGUCCAUGCCGUAAACGAUGUGUGUUAGACGUUGGAAAUUUAUUUUCAGUGUCGCAGGGAAACCGAUAAACACACCGCCUGGGGAGUACGACCGCAAGGUUAAAACUCAAAUGAAUUGACGGGGACCCGCACAAGUAGUGGAGCAUGUGGUUUAAUUCGAAGAUACGCGCAGAACCUUACCAACACUUGACAUGUUCGUCGCGACUCUAAGAGAUUAGAGUUUUCGGUUCGGCCGGACGAAACACAGGUGCUGCAUGGCUGUCGUCAGCUCGUGUCGUGAGAUGUUGGGUUAAGUCCCGCAACGAGCGCAACCC
rnacentral:rRNA from 1 species